CCUACGGGGGGCAGCAGUGGGGAAUAUUGCACAAUGGGGGAAACCCUGAUGCAGCGACGCCGCGUGAAGGAUGAAGUAUUUCGGUAUGUAAACUUCUAUCAGCAGGGAAGAAAAUGACGGUACCUGACUAAGAAGCCCCGGCUAACUACGUGCCAGCAGCCGCGGUAAUACGUAGGGGGCAAGCGUUAUCCGGAUUUACUGGGUGUAAAGCGCUCGUAGGCGGUAUGUCAAGUCAAGGGUGAAAUCCCCGCGCUCAACGUGGGAACUGCCUUUGAAACUGGCAAACUGGAGUGUGUGAGAGGAUAGUGGAAUUCCAGGUGUAGGAGUGAAAUCCGUAGAUAUCUGGAGGAACAUCAGUGGCGAAGGCGACUAUCUGGCACAUAACUGACGCUGAGGAGCGAAAGCGUGGGUAGCAAACAGGAUUAGAUACCCUUGUAGUC
rnacentral:rRNA from 1 species